CGGGGGACAACAUUUGGAAACAGAUGCUAAUACCGCAUAACAGCGUUGUUCGCAUGAACAACGCUUAAAGGAUGGCUUCUCGCUAUCACUUCUGGAUGGACCUGCGGUGCAUUAGCUUGUUGGUGGGGUAACGGCCUACCAAGGCGAUGAUGCAUAGCCGAGUUGAGAGACUGAUCGGCCACAAUGGGACUGAGACACGGCCCAUACUCCUACGGGAGGCAGCAGUAGGGAAUCUUCCACAAUGGGCGCAAGCCUGAUGGAGCAACACCGCGUGAGUGAAGAAGGGUUUCGGCUCGUAAAGCUCUGUUGUUAAAGAAGAACACGUAUGAGAGUAACUGUUCAUACGUUGACGGUAUUUAACCAGAAAGUCACGGCUAACUACGUGCCAGCAGCCGCGGUAAUACGUAGGUGGCAAGCGUUAUCCGGAUUUAUUGGGCGUAAAGAGAGUGCAGGCGGUUUUCUAAGUCUGAUGUGAAAGCCUUCGGCUUAACCGGAGAAGUGCAUCGGAAACUGGAUAACUUGAGUGCAGAAGAGGGUAGUGGAACUCCAUGUGUAGCGGUGGAAUGCGUAGAUAUAUGGAAGAACACCAGUGGCGAAGGCGGCUACCUGGUCUGCAACUGACGCUGAG
rnacentral:rRNA from 1 species